rnacentral:pre_miRNA from 1 species
GUGGCUGCUGGUUUGGUGCUUUCUACUGGUGCUGUGCAGAGGCUUCCCCUGAGGCUGCUGUGAGCCUAUAGGGUUUCCCCCUAGGCUACAGAGCUGG